rfam:Schistosoma curassoni strain Dakar, Senegal genome assembly, scaffold: SCTD_scaffold0000415
GCGUCGGUGGUUCAAUAGCACAAUGCUCGCCUGCCACGCGGGCUGGCCGGGUCCGAUUCCCGGCCGACACA